AAGUCCUUAAGUUAAUAUAAACUAAUAGCCUUCAAAGCUAUAUAUAAAGAUAAUCUUUAGGCCUUA
rnacentral:tRNA from 1 species